AUUGAACGCUGGCGGCAUGCUUUACACAUGCAAGUCGAGUGGCAGCGCGGGGGCAACCCUGGCGGCGAGCGGCGAACGGGUGAGGAAUACAUCGGAACGUACCCCGGAGUGGGGGAUAACCCAGCGAAAGUUGGACUAAUACCGCAUAUGCUCUGAGGAGGAAAGCAGGGGACUUCGCAAGAGGCCUUGCGCUCUGGGAGCGGCCGAUGUCCGAUUAGCUAGUUGGUGGGGUAAUGGCUCACCAAGGCGACGAUCGGUAGCUGGUCUGAGAGGAUGAUCAGCCACACUGGGACUGAGACACGGCCCAGACUCCUACGGGAGGCAGCAGUGGGGAAUUUUUGGGACAAUGGGGGUAACCCUGAUCC
rnacentral:rRNA from 1 species